GACGAACGCUGGCGGCGUGCUUAACACAUGCAAGUCGAGCGAGGCCCCUCCUUCGGGAGGGUGUCCUAGCGGCGAACGGUUGGUUAACCCGGGGCCAACUUCCCCCCACUCCGGGAUAAACCCGGGGAAACGGGGCUAAUUACGGAAUAGGCCUCCCCCGGGCAUCUGCGGGGUUGGAAGGUUUUUGGCUGGGGAUGGGCCCGCGGCCUAUCAGCUAGUUGGUGGGGUAGUGGCCCACCAAGGCGACGACGGGUAGCCGGCCUGAGAGGGCGACCGGCCACACUGGGACUGAGACACGGCCCAGACUCCUACGGGAGGCAGCAGUGGGGAAUAUUGCGCAAUGGGCGAAAGCCUGACGCAGCGACGCCGCGUGAGGGACGAAGGCCUUCGGGUUGUAAACCUCUUUCAGCAGGGACGAAGCGAAAGUGACGGUACCUGCAGAAGAAGCACCGGCCAACUACGUG
rnacentral:rRNA from 1 species